UGUAAAUAGUGUGUUAGUCUGCUGACUCUCUGUACUAAUUUUAAUCAACUCUGCAUUGCUAUUGCCUUUCCAGGAAGUCUCAGACUGAAAUCUCCCAGAUUGUAACAGAUUGGAUCUCAUUGAUUUAGAUGAAGAAAAGGUUCGAAUAAAUAUACAGAACUAAAGUGUUUCAUUCUAGAGGACUGCUUGAAACUGAAUGCAGGAGUCCUGCUUUCCUUUCAGACCCAGCAAACACCCUAAGAAAAUCAAGGAAAUCUUUUCCUACCCUGCAAGGUCUAUGAGAAGUUACUAGUCCACAAGUCCAGAUCACCAGCAUGUCACAGAAUUACAUCAGAGUUACCAAAGCUGUUGAUGUUAUGCAACUGGACUGUGGAGAGAGUAGGAAGACAUUCAAUGUAUCCAAAUCCAGCCAAAUGAGUAAUACACCAAGCAAACCUCCAUUUAUAACUGCCUGUCAAGGAUGCUGACUAGGUUUCAUCGGGACAUGGUAUAUCAGCUUCUGUUUUUAGGACGGCUGUUCAGAUUGUGUCUGCCAGUUGUCAUUUGAGGAGUAGACAUAGAAGAAAUUCCUGCUGAAGUGGCAGUAAAAAUGAUCCAUAAACCUGCUGCUGAUCCUUAACCUUCUGCAUCCAUUCUAAGAGGAUUCCUCGCACAGAGCUAAUCCUUCAAAAUCUUCUUUUUAUGUGCUUUUGAAACACACCAACAACCAUGUGAGACUGAGCCUACUAUUUCCAGAAAAAUUUUCAAGAACAAAGUGGUUCAGAAUUAAAGUAAGUGUGUAAAGACAAAGAGAUGUAAUUGAAUAUACACUUUGUUCUCAGAGUGAUGUUAAUUAUCCUGUGGGAUAUACUAAAAUAAGGUUAUAUUCUACGUUAAAGAACUAGACAUCUACAUUAAGGAAAAUAAAAAGAAAAUAAACACCGACAGCAUACAAGGCAGCGUUUGCAAAUGCUAUCCACUGCUGCCUUCUAUAGAACCACAUUGACAUUCUUCAUCCUUAUAUUCUGUCUUCACUGUUUCUGCCCAAACCACCACUAAACAGGGCAAGCUCUAUUCCACCUACAGUUUGGGUCUAUAAUGAGUCUUACUGCCAUAGAUCCUGUAGUUAAUGUGCUUGGUGCCUUCUCUACAAACGGUUCUCUUUGCCACUGUUCUCCCAACUCCACUUGUAUUAAACUCUUGUUAAACAAAUUUCAGUAUUCUAGUUUCCUAGAA
rnacentral:lncRNA from 1 species